AAAAAGUUAAAGAAAGUGUGAGAUUGCGAGUAAAUGGCGUCUCGAGUUGUUUUUUUAGUGAAUAUCAAAUAUGUUUCUCAUGUUACAGUGAUAAAAGCGAAGUUUUAAUACUUGCGAUGUUAAUGUAUUUGUUAUCAUUAAAGUUUCAUUGACAAUUACUCAGUCUUAACCAUACGGUUCACAUUCUGUGACGAAACAAUGGCGUCGAACGAUUCUGGUGAAUCCCACGUAAAAGACGGUGAAAAUCGCGAUUUAGUGACCGACGGUUGCAAUAAAAGUGGGAAUUCUGAUAUCGGUGAAUACGUUAAACGCCGCCGGAUGACUCAUGACUAUCGAAAACUGUCGAAACUGGGAUACGAUCCAAGUGUGCCAACAGUGAUCAAGCACGCACCAGCUUCGGAUUCUAAAGGUAAAAAACGUAAGCGCAGCAUUGAGUCUAAGGAAGUAUGUGUGUGGGGAGAAAACGCCAAACCAGCGAAACUGAGUAAAAUAUGGCCAGUUUUCGAUUCUGGAGGAUUUGGCGACACUGCCAUCAUGACACUGCAUAUCGUGCAAAAACCAACACCAGAGAAGAACCCUCUUCUGUUCUAUAGACACCAUGAUUUGUGUACUGAACUCAACCAACCUUUAGACUGGUUUGGUGGCAUCAACGCUUCCUGGAAGCAGACACAACUAUCGAGAUCAGUUCCAUGUGAUGACGUCACAAAGCGAAUAUAUUCGUCCGUGUCACGACAACUGCGCAUCAUCAAUGCUCAUUUCCAACAUAACAUGUUAAAGUACAAGUACCCUAAAGUGUCCCGAGCUAAUGUUUUACUAGAAAGUUCCACUUCGAGACGUCUUUCGACUCAAGUCAGCAUGGCCUUACGAGCGAUCAAGUUCCAGUCGACACCGAGAAGGGAGUUACCGUGCUAUGGUAAUUUAGAGCUGCCGUUCAAGAUUAAACAGGAAGGUUCAUCUUCUUCAUCGCCCCAGUUUUACCCAGCGAUAGGCAGAAGUGUUAAAGUGAAUACAGAUGCUAAACUAAAUACAGAUACUAAAGUGAACAGUGAUAUCAAAGUGAACAAUGAGAUUAAAGUGGAGAGAGACAUCGUCAAGGUGGAGAAGGACAGAGACAAGGAUAGAGAGAGGGAGAAAGAAAGAUCGUCGCAUUCGUCGCGUCACUCCAGCUGUCAGCAGUGCAGACGGAGGUCCCGCAUCAAGCGGUGCUCCAUCGGGGUGCAGUGCCGGAGGGAGAGGACGGGGCCCAUGUGGGGACCGCUCUCUCAGACCAUUGACCUGAAGGGAUUGAAGUAUCACAGACUGAUGAGAGUGGACACGCACCCUAACGGUGGUGCUAGCGUGGUGUACCUCAACCAGCAAGACGUGGACAUGCUAAGCCGGGGCCAGCAGGAAGCACUUGCCAAAGAAUUCUUGAAGCUGGUAUUCUCGGAAGACGGUGAGGGGUGGGCGAACUUCGUGUGUGGGGUGGUGCGCGGGGCCGCAGCUCGGUUCCCCUGCCUGCUGCAAUACCUGGCUGAGAAGCACCCGUCCCUGCCCGUCAAGGCUGGAGUCCUGGCCCGGGCUUCGGACAUAGAGACCACCACCAUCAGCCGUUAUCAACAACAGGUGCAACAAACGUACGCGGCGGGCACGUUCCGGUGCGGGCCGCUGCACCAGAUCUCCCUGGUGGGCACGGUGCACGAGGAGGUGGGGGGAUACUUCCCGGACAUGCUCACCAUGCUCACCGAGUGCCCGUUCCUUAAUCUUACAAUGCCUUGGGGACCAAUGUCAGCCGUCGAAAUGGAGCCUCAGGAAUCAAAUGAUGGACCAAUCCUGUGGAUCAGACCGGGAGAGCAGCUGGUGCCCACUGCAGAACUUGGAAAGAGCCCUAUAAAGAAGAGAAGAACUGGCAUGAACGAGCUACGCAACCUGCAGUACCUGCCGCGGUGGAGCGAGGCGCGCGAGUUCCUGUUCGAGGACCGCACGCGCGCGCACGCCGACCACGUCGGCCACGGCCUCGACCGCAUCACCACCGCCGCCGUCGGCGUCCUGAAGGCGAUCGGUACCGGUGCGGAUCCCGGCGGGGGGCGCAUCACGAAAGACGUGGUGGCGUUCCACGCGGCGGACUUCAACAAGCUGGUGCAGCUGCUCCAGCUUGACCUGUACGAGCCGCCCAUCUCGCAGUGCGUGACAUGGUUGGAGGAGGCGAAACUGAACCAGCUGCGGCGCGAGGGCGUGCGCUACUCGCGGCUGCCGCUGUGCGCGGACGACGUGUACUUCCUGCCGCGCAACAUCAUACACCAGUUCCGGACCGUCUCCGCCGUCACCUCCAUCGCGUGGCAUCUCAGACUGAAGCAGUAUUACCCGUCGUCGGAGGCGUCCUCGCCCGCGGAGGAGCGACCGCCGGCAGACACGGUCAACAACACACCUGACCCUGAAACCAAAUCAUCGAAACACAAACUAGGCGUCAUCGAGAUGAGAGCGCUGAGCGCCAAGUUCAAGGAGAAAUCCGCCUUAAAAAUAUCUGAAAACCGCAAGAGUUUAGAUGUCCAAAGUAAGGAUAAGUCGGACGACAAGAAAGAGAGGCGGAGCGACAAGCACGACCGAGCUGACAAGACUGACCAGAAGAACGAGAAACACAGACACAAAGAUGGAGACAGACACAAAUCCGACGGCCGAUCGGACAAACACGACAGCAAAAUCGAUAAAAGUGAAGGGAGAGCUGACAGACCUGACAAGGAGAAAGAUAAGACGGAGAAGUCCUACAGAGAAAAAGACAAAAGUGAUGUUAAGUGUGAGAAGACAGAAAGAAACGACAGAUCUUACAAGGGUGAAAACAAAGCGGAGAAAACUGACAGUCACGAUAGGAGUCGAGCGGACAGACCGGAGGUCCGGGAAAGAUCCGAGAGGUCAGAAAAGUCCGACAGGUCAGAAAAGUCCGAUAGAACAGAGAAGGAAAAUCGGAACGACAAGUCAGAGAACAGAACCGAGAAGUCGGAAAGUUCAGACAAGAGCCACGACCACCACAGGAGGCACUCGUCCUCGUCCAGACACAAGUCUUCCCACCACAAGUCGGAAAGAUCGAGGGAGCACAAGGACCACCGAAAGGAGCACAGGAGCUCAGAUGACAGGAGGUACGAGAAACACAGGGACAGAGAUGUGAAAAGUAUUACAGAAGUUAAACAGGAAAGUGAUAAGUUACCACAGACAGUGCAUCAACCACCCGAUUAAGUAUUGUGCUAGAGAAUUAAGUUUAGUGCUCGUACCCAUCAGAUCCUUGUGGAGGUAAGUUUUUAAUGUAACCUUUACAUUGUUUUAUCAUAGGAUGUUUUAGAAUCGUUUUCGUUUCGAUAUAGAUUAGUAGAUCUAUAUUUUUGUACUUUGCCAACGUUUUAAAUUCGUACCAAAUUGAUCUCUAAAUUUACCAGCCACAAGGUUCAGAUGUGAACCGAUAAGUCGGUGCUAGGCUAAAUUUUCUGUAAAUACUAGGUAAGUCUCGUAGAGGCUAAGAGAAUGGUUGGAUGCGCAGUUUUAGGUUUCUUGUACUUAUUUCACAGUUUUGAUUGAAAUGAGCAUAAGGUACCUUAACUUUUGAUUGAAAUGAGCAAAAGUGAGGUAAAAAGUAUUUACGAUACAUAAAAUACAUUCGUAUUUUGUUUAUUUUUAAGUCCAGUGAUUUGUCUGUAUUCUAAUCUUUUAUUUUUUUAACUAUCUUAAUAUGAUAAUAUAUUAUAUUCAUCACAAAUACAUACUUUUUAAAAUCAGAUUGUAACUCUUAUUCUUUACAUUUUUAAAUAACCAUCAAAGUCGAAAUAAGAAUGAAAAUUUGAAAAUCUUUUCAAAAACUAUACUGUACAGUGCUCCCAAAGUGAUAAUGCGCACAGAAAUUUUCGUUAUUGUUCGGCAACGGUCGUUUUUCCCGAGCGUCGCAAGACGAUGCCACAAAACCUUUUAUACGCAACAAACGGUAUUGUGGCGCAUGCGCCAAAAAUAGAGACAAUUGACGGAUCGGCGACAGCCGGCGCGUACCGACCAUAAUAUGAUAUUUACUUCUAUUUCUUUCGAACAAGGUGCAAAAUGC